rnacentral:lncRNA from 1 species
CUGUGCCGUACGGAGGGGACGGGGAGGGCGGCGUCCGGCCGGCCGCUGAACUGACCUACAUCGCUCGUCCCCAGGUCGGUGGAUGCUGACUUGAGGGUCUGCCUCCUGCUGCGGCUGCCGGGCUUCGGCCCACUCUGCCCCUUGGAGGAACAGAACACACCGCAGCCUGUGCAGCCGCAGAGGUGCAGAGGAAUGGAGGAGAAGGAGCGGCCCCCCGGCGCCCGCAGCCCCCCCCCCUCACCUUGCGCUGCGCCCAUGGGCCGGGGGAACUGCGUGAGGACGGGGAGGGGGCUCAGCCCCGUGCAGACACUGUUCAGACCAAGAGCGUUCUGCAGGACGGGGAGCCCCGGAGCUCAGCAGACACGGGUGACAUGCACAGCCCUGCAGAGGCCGGGGCGGCCCCAGCCCCGAUCUGCGUCCUGCAGGGCACUUCACACCAUGCACGGGGCGCUGCUCCCAGAAAGCCAGCACGGGCUGAGCACGAACUGCAGGGCAGCCGUGGCCCCACGGCACUUCCUCAGCCUCUAAGAUCAGCCCCGGGCUGCCAGAGCCUCGAGCAGCCCACGGCAACACGGGGCCUCCCUGACUCCUAAAGCCACCGUGUGCAGUGUGUGCGACACAGCCGGGUCAGCGCAAGCUCGGACAACACAAACACGGCACACAGGUAGAGCGGAGGCAGCGCACGAGAGUAAAUGGGGUUUAUACCAUGUUGUACUGCUGGGGUGGAGAGACUGGCAAGAGGACUUGGGGGCAGGAGCUUGGAGAAUACUGAACGGGCUGCAGCGCUGGGACCGGCUGAGACCAGCAGAGGAGGGAGCAGAGGGCACAGAUUUGGGUGGGGAGAGGUGAGGAAGGACAGGAGGAAGGAGAGAAAGAAGGAACAACAAGGUUAGUCAACCGAGCCCGUUGCGAACACACACAGGCGGGCAUUGCAGGGGUUUGGAAAGCGUGGGGAGCAGAAUGGGAGAGCGUCCGCCUGUCGGGGACGGCACGGCUGCUUUGUGGAAGCUGUGCAGGCCGUGUCCACAAAGCAGUCCUCACCUGGUGUGAACGGUGACGAAUUCACAAAGGCCCAAAGCAGAGAUCCGUUUACUCCGGACCACCUCCGUGUCUCCCAUCCCACCGCCCACCCGUGCACGGCACCGACCCCCGGCUCUCCCUGCACCCUCGCCGGGCAGAACGGAGUCCCAGCAGCCCGGCUGUGCGUUGGCUCUGCCUGCACCUCCCACCGCCUGCCCCCACCGAGCCCCGCCUGCUGUGCAGACACUCACCUGAGACAUCAUGUGGUUACUCAUGGCUGGCUGCUGCUGGGCCGUGGGGGGAAGGCCUUGGGGCUGCGGCUGCUGGGGAGGCGGUGGUUGAGGCUGCUGGGAUGCGCAGGGAAGGAGGCCGCGGCUGGGCUGCGACGAAGGGGGUUGGCUGCAUGCUUCGGGGGCACCGAGAGCCAGGCCUUGAGCAGAGAGAAGCAGGAGAAAGCAGACGGUAAGUCAGCCAAACAGCUCAUCCCCAUCCGGGUGCUGAGCAGUCCGAAACGAAGCCGGUUUCGUUUCCUGGUCCCAUUCUAACCGGGGGCACUGAGCGCAGCCCCAUAGCUGACCAACCCCCCGACUCAACGACGGCGGGCACCGCUGCUCCCUGGCAGGAGGUGGGCAGGGAAGCCAAGCAGUACCUGCCCGGGGUGCUCUGCUGGCCGUGCUGCCUUUGCUGCUCCCGAUGCUGUCCCCCCGUGUCAGGAUGGAGAUGCCGCUGAAGCUGCUGGCUUUGGUGACGGGCGGUCGCAGGCUGCGGAUGGAGCCAUCUGAGUCCGUGCUGCUCCACGGCCGAGGCUCCAAUGAUUUGAUCUCGCUCUCCGUGCUGCUCUGACGGCUGCCCGAGGCCCGGCUCAAACCGUCCCGGUUGGCCCUGUGCAGAGAAAACACCGGGCCUCACAGAGGCCUCAAGGUGACCAAGAUCUUGCAAGAUCCCCUUCUGCAGAGCUGUGUGCCGUGGCACCACUGUGCUCCCCGUGACUGCCCCCCUUCCUCUCCAGCCGGGUCUGCCUGUAAGACUUUGGAGUGCUGGCAAAGCACCCCAAGCAUUAAACCCGGUUCACCAGCCCAGCUAAGGAAUAUCAUGGGUUUAUAAUGGGUUCCUGGACCCUCGCUGAGGAGGAGUGGUGAUGAAGGCAACGACGGCAGAGAUGCCAUGCUGCAGGCUGAGCUCGGCAGCUCCAAGCAGCCGUGGAGAGAAGACAGGCUGAGAAGGAACGUCCAGCUGAGGUCCGGGGCUGCCGGGAGCACACGAGAGCCAAAGAGAACAGCUCUCCUGGAAGGGCAACCGAUGCGAUGGCUGCACCUCCUAACAGGUGAAGGAACCGCCUGUGCAGCCUUGCAAACUCCAGAGGGCCUAAAAAGUGUCGCUGCUCAUCCGGGCUCUCUCCAACCUCGACCCCGAGGAUGCUCGGAGAGGUGGGGGCACUCUUUGAGGCAUGUCGUGUCCUCCGUGCAGCUCAGCUGCUAACCCCGCUUCCCUGAGAACUCAGGACCUCUCAAGCUGUUAUGCCACUGGGUUAGCAGCAAGCAGCUUGAGCCAGCUCUGCUGUCUCUCGUGCCCCUCUCUCCGUGAACCUCAUCACAGCCUGCUUCCACGUGUCUGCCAGCAGAGAGCUCUCUGCCAUCACCUCGGUGCUAACAGAGGCCGUGUAAGCAAUGGAGGUGGCUGCUUUUGCUCUGAGUGCUGGGCUCUGGGGGAGCGAACUCAGGAGUUCACCAAGACAUCACCUCCAAGCACAGCCACCCAGGGAGCCCCGGUCUUCUCCGGAGCUUUGUCUGCCUCUGUCCAGAGCUCCAAACGACCCUGAGGUCCACACGGCCUCCGGAACCACAGAGGAAGGAGGUUAAGAAGCUCUUUAGGGCACACGGGUCAGAAGAGCUCUCAGCACAGCGCUGCCUGCAGGUGUGGGGUGACCUCUGCUGUAUGUCCACAGCAGAACUGCAAACGACACCAACACCGCAGCCAGAGGCGUAACUCCACCGCAGCAUCCCCGUAUCUGCGCUGAGGACACCUCGUUUUGCACUGCAGUGUUGUUCUGAGUGCAAACGGAGCCAAAACUGAGAAGCAAAGCUGUACCUCCAACACGCUUAAACCAGGGACAGCUGCAGUGCACCCCGACACUGAGCGGUGGGGUUCUCCCACCCUUCUGGGACACAAAGAGCGCAGCGGUUGGAAAACUGCCCCGAUCCUUUGGCUCUCCCCCUCCCUGCUGCCCACCGUCCCAUUUGAAUCGAUGGAUUGGCAAAAAAAAAAAAAUAAAAGAGAGAGAGAGGACUCAGAAAUCAACGCUGCGAAAAAUCCCACUUCGGCAACGAAUGGGGCAGAUUUACCCAGCAGGAAAACGUGCAUAAAUCACACAGCGACGCCUAAAAAUCUGCCUCCGUUUCUGAGGGCUAUAAGCAAAGCUUUCCUUGGACAUUCUGCCCGCUGCCAUCAGAGAAAAGCAUCAUUACGGAGUCAUGCAGUGCCCUGCAGACAAAGGCAGAGACACAGAGGUGUGUGCUGAGCGGUACUGACCUGCUGUCGGUGAGAUAUCCGUUCUGACCGGUCUGCAACCGUGGAAAAGACGCGGAGAUGGGAAGGAAAGAAAAAGGGACACUUAAUCACUUGGAAAGCGACAAACCCCACGCUACUUCAAAGCAAAGAAGAGCAAAGCACUAACAGUAUGGGAUUCAGCUGGUGCUGUGCAUGAGUUGUAUGGUCACUCGGGAGCUCCUGCUGAGCCUCUCGUGCUCCUGUCCCACUCGGCUCUCCAUCCAACCCCCCUGGAGCCUUUGCCAGCAUCUGUGAGGCCGACAUCUCCCCUGGGCUUUCAAAUCGGAGCCCUAAGCUCUCUAUCUCAGUGCCCUGAGGAGUCCUAAGCUCUCUAUUUCAGUGCCCUGAGGAGCCCUAAGCUCUCUAUCUCAACGCCCUGAGGAGCCCUAAGCUCUCUAUCUCAGUGCCCCGAGGCAGCAUCGAGGUUGCUUUGUUAGUGGGACAACCGAGACCAAACACAGAAGGGUCCUCUCUUGGUAAACGCGGGCAGUCAUCAGAGCCACGUGAAAAGGCGGAGGGCUCAAAGUCAGCCCAGCAUCCCGGUGACAGCCAGCCCUGCCCCUGCAGCCUGCAGCAGAGCGCCGGCUCAGGCCCUGAGCAGAGAGGAAGGGCGGCCACUCAGCACCGUGCUGGCGUGGGAUGGCAGCUGCCCUCGUCCAGGACUGCAGGCAGAGCUGCUCGUUAGCGUGGCUGGAUGGCUCUGGGCCUGCGUGCAACACAGCUCUGUGCCUACCAACACGAGAGCCAUCCGAAGCCUUGCUGCCUCGAGAGCACUCAGUGCAGCGGCUGCCUGAACACACUCCCAUUGGGACGGAGGAAAGCAUCGUUCCCCAGCUACUCCAAAGCAGCAGGCAGGGAGCUGGACUUCCAACCUGACCCACAGCAGCCUGAACUGUCCCCAGUCCCAUCGUACGCCUCUCGGCACAGCACAGAGAGCUGCCUCCAGCUGGCAGAUAGCACUCAACACAGCAGAGCACAGCAGCCUCGCUGAGCCAGACGUGAGCACGGAGCAGAGCUCUGCCUUAGAGGAGUUCCACACAGGGAGCAGAGAUUUCAAGCAAACAACAACCAAGCUGGACGCUUUGUGAGAAAGGAAAUCAACCCACAUCCAGCCCACAAAGGCACAGAGCCCUGCCUGACACCUGAGGGACCCCGGGCAGCCUGAUGUAAGGGCUGGCAACCCUGCCCGUGGCAGGGGGGUUGGAACGAGGUGAUCUUUAAGGUCCCCUCCAACCUAAGCCAUUGUGUGAUUGAGGGCUAGCACUGCUUGCUCGGGAGGCCAAAGCUGCAGAAAUGGAGAGAAACUGGGAGAGAAGGGCACGGUUCCUGGCAGCUUCAUCGAUUAACUCAUUCCAGACAUGCCACUGCAUAAGCUUAUAGUACUGCUGGACAGCAAGGAGCAAACCUGCCUCCUCUGUCAGUCCCCACACUUCUACUGCCAUGUGAAUUUAAGGGAGUGAACGUGUGGCUCCUCUAUCUCCAUGUCACAGGCAUCUUUGUUAGGAGCUGGAAUUCACUGGUAGAUACCAGGAACACUAGGAAAUUCGUAGAAAAGGCAACAGUGAGAUCUGACCUGUUAGGAUAUUCAAGGCCACCUUCUGCCCCAAGGUUCCAGGAAGACACCUGGCACGUCAGUGAUCUCAGCUUACCUCUCGUGCAAAUAUCCGCUCCCUGGCCCGCUGGUAUUCCUCCUCUCGCUCUUCUAUAGAUUUGCUCCUCCUCCCAUCCUGCAAGGGGAGUCUGAUCUGAAGGGACAAACACAGCUCAGCGGGUCAGUGGUUGCCAACGGGAGCAGAGGGUGCAGUGAGCUGCUGAUACGUCUGCACAGCACUAUGGGGACUGUGGGGUGCGUGCACGAUGCCCGGGUGCAAUAACGCUGCCUUUAAACUGAACUCCUGGGCACCUGUGUUAUGGGGGUGAACAACUGUUCUGCCUGCAAGACUGUUCUGCCCGAUUCAGAGAGGACAGGUGAGGAAUAUGAGCAAGUAUUCUGGAAGACAAUCUGCUCUCGGGGGGUCAGGAGCUAAAAGCCGCUCUCUGCAGACAGAUGCCCACGGCAAAGUCCUCCUGCUCAGUCACACGCUGUGUGCCUCACCCUCUGAGUACCACCGUGGAGCAAACAGAACCUGGUACUGAUUGCAAUGACCUCCUGAGUUCGGAAAGGUGAACCAAAGCGAGGGGUGAUGGCGUGGUGAUGUUAAGAUGGGUGCUACAAAAGCAAAGAGCGCGAGGUCCUGGGUGGGGAGGGGGAUCCCGGCGCCCCGUUCUGCUGUCCCUUACCUGAUUAUCAUCCCUGUCCAUGCUGGUGUCAUCUCGUUUUAGGAUAAACCGCUGUGGAAACUCUGCAUUCUUCUCAUCCUUGAUGUGCUCAGAGAACCUCUGCUCGGGACUGCAGGGGGAACCAGCUCUUGUUAGGGGGUCACAACGGGGGUAGGACUGCCUCCAUAAAACCACUGCCUUGCAGGGAGUGGGGCACGAAUGUCCCUCUCUGACAGCAACAGAGGAACCAAACCCUCCUCUGACAGCUAAAGAGAGCUGGAAAGGACUUGUAGAUAUAUAAACGUGGGGCUGGAAGUGGAGGAUUCCAUCUGACCCUCUGAAGAGGGAACGUGCCCUUCUUACAGAGGCAUUAAAUGUGGUGCAAAAUCCAUCCUAUGAAAUCCAUCCCCCAGGGCUUGUGGUCUGGGAGG